GAUGAAGAACGCAGCGAAAUGCGAUACGUAAUGUGAAUUGCAAAUUCAGUGAAUCAUCGAGUCUUUGAACGCACAUUGCGCCCCCUGGUAUUCCGAGGGGCAUGCCUGUCCGAGCGUCAUUGCUGCCCUCAAGCACGGCUUGUGUGUUGGGCCCCGUCCUCCGAUCCCGGGGGACGGGCCCGAAAGGCAGCGGCGGCACCGCGUCCGGUCCUCGAGCGUAUGGGGCUUUGUCACCCGCUCUGUAGGCCCGGCCGGCGCUUGCCGAUCAACCCAAAUUUUUAUCCAGGUUGACCUCGGAUCAGGUAGGGAUACCCGCUGAACUUAAGCAUAUCAAUAAGCGGAGGA
rnacentral:misc_RNA from 1 species